rnacentral:lncRNA from 1 species
AACCCCCACGCCCCUUAAAAAUGUCGAAACACCCCCAUACCCCCAUGAACCCUCAUAGACUCGUCUAUCUUAUCCCUCUCUCAUCUCUCGCCAUCUGUCGCUGCCGAAAAUCGCCUAUGGCGGCGGCCCGUCGCCAAAUAACCCCAAAUCUUCACCCUAUGACUCCCACACUUCCCAAAUCCCAAAUCUCUUACCAAUUUCCCCAAAUAAUCACCCAAACUCCCCGAAUUUUAGAUCUAAGAGAUUAAGAAAACCUAGUUUUUCCCUUAUUUUUUUUUCUGAAUUCAAGCCAUCUUACGCUAUAGCUCACAUUAGUUGACUGCUUGUGUUAAGAAUUACCAAAUGAUUUUGGUUUCAUAUCAUUGGACAACCGUCAGUUUUGACCACUCAACCUCACUGGCUAGCCAUCGCUUUGUGUAGCAUUAGUUCUGCCUUUCAAGCGUGAAUCAAUGCUCACAUAUCGAUAUUGACUAUUGGUCGGAUUUUCUAAAGUUUGGCUCUGUUCAUCAGUAGGUAACUUCCCUUUUCGAUCCUUCUUGUUCUUCAUUUUAAUGACAUGAUUCAAUGUUAUUGUUUUGUGUGUGUUGAUUGCGUUUAGUGGCUGGAGAGCAGUAUUUUGAUUAGAUAACUGAAGUUUUAUUAAUUUAGUCUUGAUUAUGUUGCUAAAACCUGUUAAGUAAUGGUUAAUUGGUAAUUCUUUAAGUCUUGUCUUUUAAUAUUAAAUUCUGAAAUUAGAAUAAAAUUAGUUAUUAGUGUUGAUCAUGGCAUUUAGAGAUUUUUUAAAAAUCAGCAGAGUUCUCUUUGUUGUUAAUAGCUUGAAUGUUCUGGAAUAGGGAUAAGGGAUCAAGAUGUAAUGGGAUAAAGAAUUUAGGGCAAAAUUUGGGGUUAAGAAGGGUAAAAUACAGAAACUAAAGGGGCUAAAAAAUAUGAGGGAAUAUCAGGAUAGACAGUUGUCCAAUAACUGUCCAUUUCAUUUGCAAAAGAUGUUAUUUUCCUGAUUUUUAGGGAGCUGAAAAAUAUUCCCAGACCCCUUUCUUCCUCACACAUAGCACAUGUUAAUAUUCUAUAGAAAAAGGAUUCCUUCUCUCAUUCUCAGACACGGAAAAAACCCUCAGAAAUUCAGAGAUUUGGUUUCUCCAUUUUCAUUUUGAUAUUUCUACUCUUUUGGGUUUAAAUCUAAAACCAGAAAACAAGAAAACAAAAAACAAAAAAUAAAAAUAAAAAAUUCAAGGCUGCUUAUUCUUUUUCAUUUUUCUACUGGUCUUACUCCAUUUUACUAGGACUUUUUUUGGCUGCUGGCUUUUUGGUUCUUGCUGGUUUCUGCUGCUGCAUUUGUUUUUGGUUUUUGGUUUUUUUUUUUUUCAAUUCCAGAGACAUAUUUUCUGUUUAUUUUGGUUCUGUCAUAAAUAAGUAUGUGCUACAUGACUGCAGUACCUAUUUAAGCAUAUGAAUAAAGUUUGAGUGUCAAUAGAUUGGUUUAAAGCUUUCUAUGUGUGUUAAUUACUUGUUUGAGCUAUAUGACUGCACUAAAUUCUUCUCUGAUUUAGUUUCCUAUUCAAUGCUAAAUAUAUUUUUUAAAUAGGAACUGGUCUUACUUAAUUUCAUAUUGCUUGUAUCUUCAACUAGAAGUGAUUCCUGAUUCAAAAAUGCUUUCUGGUAUCGUCAUAUGAAAUACCUGCCAAACAUGUAUUAAUCUAAGAUUGUCUUGGGUUGAGGUUUCAAAGGAUUCAAGUUGGAAAUGGACUACUGAGUGUUAAAUGUAUGAAGAUAGAAGCAAGUGGAAUCAGCUACCUACAAUUGAGUUACUGUUGUAAUGAGUAAUUCAGUAGCCUUUUUAGUCAUGUUUGAGAAGGACAAUCCUCUAAAAAAUAGUUAUUGAUGUAAAAUUUCGAAUAUGAUUGCUUUGAUGUAAUGAAUUAAUUUUCUUUUACGUUCAUGAUUUGAGGCUAAAGGUUGCAUUACUGUCUUCCUAAUCUCCUAAGUCCUUGUAUGCCAAUCUUGUAUUUACUUUAGGGCCAAUUUUGAACCUAUUAGAAGUUUGCAAAUGAAGAUCGAGCUAUUUCAGGAAGGCUAAGGCAUGUUUAGGCUCUAUCUUGAGCCCAUGUUUUCCACACUGGGCCUAUCAAGGGUCUGUACGAGUUUGCCAAUUUAAAGAUGACACAUAAUCUGUUAUUCAGCCAUUAAUUCAUGAUUAGGUCAAAAAACUAAGAAAUAAGUAGGUAGUCAGUUUAAUUAAUUCCAUGCUUUCUUUAACGUGAACAUGUGCCACA